GAUGAACGCUGGCGGCGUGCCUAAUACAUGCAAGUCGAGCGAACGGACGAGGAGCUUGCUUCUCUGAUGUUAGCGGCGGACGGGUGAGUAACACAUGGAUAACCUACCUAUAAGACUGGGAUAACUUCGGGAAACCGGAGCUAAUACCGGAUAAUAUAUUGAACCGCAUGGUUCAAUAGUGAAAGACGGUCUUGCUGUCACUUAUAGAUGGAUCCGCGCCGCAUUAGCUAGUUGGUAAGGUAACGGCUUACCAAGGCAACGAUGCAUAGCCGACCUGAGAGGGUGAUCGGCCACACUGGAACUGAGACACGGUCCAGACUCCUACGGGAGGCAGCAGUAGGGAAUCUUCCGCAAUGGGCGAAAGCCUGACGGAGCAACGCCGCGUGAGUGAUGAAGGUCUUCGGAUCGUAAAACUCUGUUAUUAGGGAAGAACAAAUGUGUAAGUAACUGUGCACGUCUUGACGGUACCUAAUCAGAAAGCCACGGCUAACUACGUG
rnacentral:rRNA from 1 species